ensembl:lncRNA
ACAUCAAGUGAAACUAAACUUAAAAUGAAAAAUGCCAACUAGCUGAAAUAAAAAGUUUUUGAUAGGUCAUUUCAUACCAGUUAGUUUAUUUUAUUUCAAGUAGAAAAAAGUUUUAAUGUUUUUUUUUGUUUGUUUGUUUGUUUGUUUGUUUCAGUUUUAGUUAACUAUAAUAACCCUGAAUCCAACAAAAUCUCUUUUAUGUUUUCAAUUAUUUGAUAUUUUUAUUACCCAAAAAUAUUACAUUAUAUAUAUAUAUAAUUCUUAAAAUUCAUAUAUUUGUGGACAUAGUCUUUCAUUCUGAAUCUGAACAUAAUUUUCCAGGUAACAUCACUUUUGUUUUUGACUUGAUUUCAGGAUCAAGUGGUUUUUUAGUGUGAGUGCUGUGGUCUCCAGCAUGGGCAGACUGGACGACGCUGCCAAGCGCAAGGUGGUGGAGCUGCGGGAAGCAGGUUUGAGCUUCCGGAAGAUCAAAGCCAUGCUGGAGCUGGAGAACAUCAAGGUGUCUGCGCAGGCCAUCUACCUUUUCCUGAAGGAGUUUCAAGGGAGAGCUCGAAAGGAAGACAGAGCGGCUGCAAACAGCAGCCACCCGGCGCCGGUGCAAACGGCAGCCAGAGACGUGGCCAGCUCUGAGACGCGGCCGGCCGGCUGGAGUGAUCAGCAGCUGAGGAACCUCCUCAGAGAGGCUUCUCGAGUCACUGCCUCCCAGCAGGCUGGAUCGUCCUCGGAUGCGAGAGGAGGACAGUCUUCCAGAACGGGUUCGGCAGGUAUAAGGGUGGCACAAGGUGGAGAGAAAGAUGAGGACAUCCGGAUUGUCAGCGUCACAUCGUUGGCACAGGGUACUCAGCACACUGGCGUCCAAGGGCUGCGUUCAGGAGUGGGAACGGGAGCGAUGAGUGGUGCUAAUAAUGUAAGACGACGACACACGCCUUCACCUGCCAAUCCUGUGCUAGUGGCUCGUAAACGACUGCUGGAUAAGGCUUUGCUCCACAGAGCGCGGGUCAGAGACAGCGUUCCUCAGAGCGGCCAGCAGGUGUCGCUGUCAGUGAGACGAGACCAGUCCUGUUUCUCUGGAUCUGAAGGCAGAAAGCUUGCCUUACCUCAGACAGCUUCUUAUGACCUGACUACAGCCAGACCUCCAAACAUGAGAUCAUUGCACCAAGGAGCCAGUCCUCAUAGGAGGUGGAUUCACCAGCGGGUCGGCGUUCCUGUUCGCACUCCUCAACACCCUCCGCGUGUCGGCAUCCGCCUCCCCGACUCGUCCACCACUGGGACGACGUCCCAAAAUCCAGCCCCCCCUGCACGGGUCCAAAACGUGAGCAACCAGCCCUCACCUCCUCCCCAGAGGAGCGGCCUGGACCCUGGAGCCGUGAGCGGCCUGCAGGAGCAGAUCCAGCUGUUGGGCUCCGAGCUGAGAAGUUUGGGACUGGCGUUGAGGAUGAUGGUGGACCAUCAGGGCCGACUGGAGAGAGAACAAGCCCAGCAGACUCAAGUCCAGAAGCAGAUCCUCAGCACCCUGCAGAAUCUCGCAUCCAAAUUCAAGCCUCUGCAGUCCACAUCUGCGCCAACGUUACCAGCGUCUUGUUCCCUGGCCUCCUCUGCGCCCUUCGGCCAGACUGCGACCGGUCAGGGCGCUUACGCCCAGUGCAGCCAAGCCCAGACGCGAUACAACGAGAUCCAUGAUUCUGGUCUGGAGAGCAUUGAGGUGUUUUCUCUGGACCAGCUCAGCCCACCUACCAUGAACGGGUUUCAGCAGUGCCCGACCUCCGGCGGGCCCCCGUUCACCCACACACAAGCCCGCACACCGACUUUCACGCAAACUUUCGCUCCCAGCGCACUCCAGUACACACAGCCGCACACAGACUCCUUCACGGGGAUGGAUAAUAAAUCAGUAGACAUGCCCUCCAGCAGUACAGACGGGUCAUUCCAGGCUUGUAGCCCUCCUAACAAGUCCUCUAGUCUUCCGGUUUCCCCCCACGAGCCCGAGCUGAACAUCAUUAAGGUGGAGAACGUCUGAGAAAUGGCUGAGAUCUGGACUUCACUGUAUUUUAUUGCACACAAACAAACAGUUUUAGCUUCCCAGAGAAACUCAUACCAGGAAAACUUUCCCCUGCUUUCCGUUUUAUUUAAUUGUAUACAGUAAUUUUGCCUUUUUAUAUGAAAAGAAAAUAAAUAUCAGUAGACAUGGUUUGUCCUGUUAUUU